rnacentral:tRNA from 1 species
GGCCUCGUAAUUCAGUUGGUUAGAGCGUUGGAUGUAAGCAAGCCUUCCGUUGCUUUCGUGGGUUCGAAUCCCACCAGGGCCC